AGAAAUCCUAACAAAUAGCAAGUUCAUGGAGUGCUUAAAUCUGAAGACACAUCCAAGACAUAACAUCAGGAAGCCUUGUUCAAACAAAAUCCUCUUGGAGUGACUGCAAUCAAAGCGAGAAAGGACAUGGGCCUGGUCUUUAUUUUUGAUCUCUUGCCUCCACAGUGAUUCAGGUUGGCUUGGAAA
rnacentral:lncRNA from 12 species